GUGAUGACGUAGGACGUAAGGACGCCCCCCCGCCGGUAGCCAUCUUCGUGCAUAGGCAAACAUUGUAGCUAGACUGUACAAAGUAUAUCAAGAUAUGCCAAAUAUUGAGCUUAACUUCACCUGUUUGAGAGAUGUCACUGAUGACUUUCGUGAAUGCAGUGUUGGGGUAAUGGGCCUGCAAAUAACAUUGAAGUGGGUACAGGAUUGAGCUGAAGAUGACAAAAUGGCAUCCUCAAGCAGACAAUUUUUCUUCCAAGUUUAGCUGUGGAUGAGAGACACAUCAGAUGGUGCACAUCAUGGAGACAAUCUGACUGGUACAGAGAAAUGAAGAGACAACAUUUUCUUUCCAAAUCUGAGCGGAGAUGAAGAUUCCUGAAACAACAAUCAAAACGAACUUUGGACUCUGACUGAGGACACAUCCAGCAAUGGCAAAGCACUCUAGCCACUGCCCAGACCCAUGGAAACUUCAGGAAGAGGCAGUUUAGUGCUUCUGGUAUUUGUCUAAUCAAGAUUAGGACUCUUAUUUAUCAUCUUCCUCUGGCAUUUUUGCACCAGUCUUCAGGUUUUAGCAUAGUAAAUAUGUUCCAGUCUGUGAAAUCUCUCUGUUUUAUUCCAAAUAAAUAAAAAAGCAUAAUAGUAGAAAUUAAAAUGAA